GCUGAAGCCGGCUGGCUGGUGUGGCACCUACCUGUUGUACCCCCUAGACCCAGUCCCACCAGUAAUCCAGCUGAAGCCAGCAGGCAGUUAACCGAUCUGGGAACAGGCUGCGCUGGAAACUGCCCAUUUCCCGGUAAAAGCUUCUAAACUC